GAUGAACGCUGGCGGCGUGCCUAAUACAUGCAAGUCGAGCGAACAGAUGAGGAGCUUGCUCCUCUGACGUUAGCGGCGGACGGGUGAGUAACACGUGGAUAACCUACCUAUAAGACUGGGAUAACUUCGGGAAACCGGAGCUAAUACCGGAUAAUAUCUUGAACCGCAUGGUUCAAUAGUGAAAGACGGUUUUGCUGUCACUUAUAGAUGGAUCCGCGUCGCAUUAGCUAGUUGGUAAGGUAACGGCUUACCAAGGCAACGAUGCGUAGCCGACCUGAGAGGGUGAUCGGCCACACUGGAACUGAGACACGGCCCAGACUCCUACGGGAGGCAGCAGUAGGGAAUCUUCCGCAAUGGGCGAAAGCCUGACGGAGCAACGCCGCGUGAGUGAUGAAGGUCUUCGGAUCGUAAAACUCUGUUAUUAGGGAAGAACAAAUGUGUAAGUAACUAUGCACGUCUUGACGGUACCUAAUCAGAAAGCCACGGCUAACUACGUG
rnacentral:rRNA from 1 species